ACGGAGCAAUGCCGCGUGAAGGACGAAGGCCUGUGGGUCGUAAACUUCUUUUAUCAGAGAUGAAAAAAUGACGGUAUCUGAUGAAUAAGCUCCGGCUAACUUCGUGCCAGCAGCCGCGGUAAUACGAGGGGAGCUAGCGUUAUCCGGAAUGAUUGGGCGUAAAGCGUUUGUAGGUGGCUUAUAAAGUCUACUGUCAAAUAUCGAGGCUCAACCUCGAACCGGCAGUGGAGUACUCAUAAGCUUGAGUGUGGUAGAGGUAGAGGGAAUUCCAUGUGGAGCGGUGAAAUGCGUAGAGAUAUGGAAGAACACCAGCGGCGAAGGCGCUCUACUGGGCCAAGACUGACACUGAGAAACGAAAGCUGGGGGAGCGAAAAGGAUUAGAUACCCUUGUAGUCCCAGCUGUAAACUAUGAAGACUAAGUGCUGCCUAAAGCAGUGCUGUAGCUAACGCGUUAAGUCUUCCGCCUGGGGAGUAUGCUCGCAAGAGUG
rnacentral:rRNA from 1 species